AGGCGUGGACAUCAACAGCAGAAAAUGGCUGCUGGUCUUUGACGUCAGUGCGUUUUGUACGCCUCGGCCAGCCUCGUAGCGGGCGUCACAGAGCAGCGGGUUCUGUUUAGGAUGGGUUAAGAUGCCUCCCGGAUUAUUCAAAAUGCAAGGAACGGUGUGUUCCGUCUGUGUUCGUGUUUUCAAAUGGUUCCCAGUGCUGUUCAUCACGACCAUAGUAGCCUGGUCCUACUACGCGUAUGUCAUCCAACUGUGUUUGUUUACCAUUGAGAAUAUAAUCCAAAAAAUAUUUUACCUGAUUGGCUUUCAUGCCUGUUUCGCAAUGUUCGCUUGGUCAUACUGGCAGACCAUAUUCACAGAGCCAGGUACCAUUCCAAAGCAAUUCUAUCUGUCACCAGCGGAUGCUGAGCGCCUGGAAAAGGAACUCAGUGAAGAUAAUCAAAGGCAAAUGCUGGAAAGGCUUGCCAAGAAUCUUCCUGUCUCAUGUAGGACGAUGAAUGGAAUGGUGAGAUAUUGUGAGAAGUGCCACCUCAUCAAGCCUGACAGAGCACACCACUGUUCAGUUUGUGGGAGGUGCAUACUGAAAAUGGACCAUCAUUGCCCUUGGGUGAACAACUGUGUGUCUUUCACAAAUUACAAGUACUUCAUUCUCUUCUUGGCCUACUCCUUAAUCUACUGCCUUUACGUGGCUGCUACGACAUUGCAGUUCUUCAUCAAGUUCUGGACGAAUGACCUUGAAGGAUGGGGACGUUUCCACAUUUUGUUUUUGUUCUUCGUUGCAUUCAUGUUUGCCAUCAGCUUGGUCUCACUGUUUGGCUAUCACUGCUUCCUCGUCAUGGUGAACCGCUCUACACUCGAGGCAUUCCGCCCACCAAUAUUUCGCACUGGCCCGGACAAGCAUGGCUUCAGCCUUGGCCACCAGGCCAAUAUGGCCGAGGUAUUUGGUGACAACCGCCGUCUCUGGAUUCUACCAGUUUUCACAAGCCUGGGUGAUGGGGUGACUUAUCCAACACGCACCCAACUGGCCAGUUCGUACAACUCCAUGGGGAGCACGGAGCAGGCAAGGCGAAAAACUCGAUCUACAAGGGAAAGCAAGACUCUCCUUUUGGAUGAAUGCUUGGGAGACGGCGUCACCUUCCCACAAAAGAUUGUGGAUGAGGACACAGAUGGACUCUUGAACCAAAGACAGAGAUGGGCUGAAACUGAUGAAGAAGCGGGCCAUUCCGAUGUGACGGUGAAGAACCAAACACUACCAAAAGUCCUCUGGGAAUAGCAUGAAUGCAGAGGUCACAGCACUGCUUGAAUGAGCUGCUACCAACUCUGUGUGUGUACCUUUGCGUGCGGUAACGCUGCGCCUCGUGAUAGGGAAUGCCAGCACCAGUGUCCAGAGCUGAAAAGAUGCACAUUGCAGAUGGCGAUCAUCCGGUCUAAGCCAACUGGCAUUUCCAAAUCAAGCAACGGCCCUGGGUGGCGCACAACUCUCAACCUUGCUGCAGGAACAAUGCAAGACUAAUUACGUUGCUGCCUCCUGACCCCUUGCGUUCCUGCCUCUGUAGAUUCACAUUGUAGCAUGAAAGAGGCUCACUGCCACCAUUAAUGGCGUCAUUGCAUGCCAACCCUGUCCAGGGGAACGGAGGUCGCACGCUUUGGCCGCAAUUGGAGAGCUGGGACGCUCUUUAAUUAUUCCCAUCCAAUAAAAACAUAGCAUCCUUCGCAAAUAACAGUGACUGCUAGUCUCACUGUGUUGAGAGGCCAGCAGUUGAACUCGGUAUGCUUUGUUUUAAAAUGCAUAGUGUUAAUAUGUGCGUUGUGUAUUGAAUGAUAUUGUUGCAGGACUGUAAUGUUAUUGCAGCCAAGGUGAUGGAGGCCACACUGUUGCACUGUGUGCUUGUGUAACCUCAGGCAUGUCAUUGUGAUUUUUAUUUAUUGCCUUACAAUAAAAAAUAAAAUUCAGUAAUAAAAUUUACCUUUGGCAUGUCAUUGUGAUUUUUUUUAAUUUAUUGCCUUAUAAUAAUAAAAAAAAAAACAUAGACCUGAUUUGCUUUACUGAAGUACCGCUGAAAAACCUUUGGUUGUAUCACUUUAUAUUUUGUUCUUGGCAUGCACUUUCUACAUACUUUAUAGAAUGCCACUUCUUUUCUUGGUCACUUCAACUGCAGAAGUAAAUGAAAGGCCUUCAUAGGUAUUGUGUGCAGGUCGAUCAGAUGCAUGUGCUUUCAGUAGCACUCUAAUGGGAGAGUAGCUGUUCUGAAGAACAUUUGUUUGGUGCUGCCAGAAGCAUGAACAGCUUUCUGUUGCAGUAGUGCACAGGUCAUAUGGUUGGUCAUGUUUUUCACUGUAAUCUUAAAUGCACUUAAAACACAGAAGCCACUAAAGGCAAGCAUAAAAUCCAAGCUAUAGUGAUAGGUUGUGGUCCUGCUUUUUUAUCUUUUUUUAGUGUUUAUCACAGAGUAAACCUGAAUUGAAUACAGCACAUUGUCCAAGAUGAGGGAUUCUUUCUGAUAAAAGAUCAGGAUUGUGCUCUUGUUUGCCAACUCUUGUCGAGCUUUGUUAACCCCUUUUCAGUCGGAGGGCAACACAGUGAGGGUGCCACACUCUCGCAAGUAGCACUAGCGGAGUGAUGUGACGCAGUAGUUUCAAUGAACUCCUCUACAGGAAAAUUGGUCAAACUGCAUUUUAUUUGAUAUUCAAAUGCAGUACAAUUACCUUUCUCUCCUCAGUGGUUGGUCACUAUUGGCCAAUUAUUGAAGACAUAUCAGGAGCUGGUUUGCUCUGUUUCAGUGGUGGCGCCAGCCUCGUCAUACGUUUGUCUCGCUUGCAAAAGCACUGUUCAUUAUUAUAAGUAAUGAAUCGGACACAUUGGAGCACUAAAAUAUCACUUUAGCUUGACCUAAUGCCUUUAAUAUCACUUUGCAGAGUGCUUGCAUAGUUGGUACAUGUACAAUGAAUGUCUAAAGAAAUGUAUUAAGUAUGGGAGACUGGCACCAAUAUUUUUCCUUACCUUGAAAACCCAUGUUGUUUUGCUUGAAGUUUAGUUCAUGUGCAAUGGUCACCUGUGGCAGAAAAACUGCCAGUUAUGUUGUGUUUGAGAUUUUGUAGUAUUCAUGUGUUUUGAAGCUUAUACUCACAUUUGGUUAGUUUUCAAAACCAGUUCCUCAGUUUUUUUUUCACCAUUUUUGUUUUUCAUGAGUAAGAUUAUGUAUACGUAACAGUAAUUGAGUCUUUUAAAUGGGUAUCUUGUAAAAGCAAAAUUAUAAUUGCUGCAAUCUCUCCUUGUGAAAUUGAGACAAGAAGCCAUGUCCCACCAUGUGCAAUGAGCUAGACUCUUGCAAUGUUUUCAUUAUUUUUUUUUUAUAACUUCCAGCUGAAGAGUUCACAUCCCCAACAAAAGUGUUGCACCUUCUGGUACUGCAAUUUUGCUGGUUGGCAUAAAUAUGUGGGUGCCAAUCCUACAAACAUAAAUGCAUUUGUAAUUUGGUCUAGUGAUCAUUCUUUAAAGUGAAUGUACUUAACUCCCGACUUGUAAAUAAGUAGCAGCAACACAUGCCUCGAAGGGUGCUCUUUAAAGAAACAACUUUCCUCAAACUGUUGCAGCUAUGGGCACAACCUUGAUGUAUGUAUGCAGCAAGUUGUAAAUAUGGUACAGUUGCACCCUCUUCUGUGUCAAGAAGUGAAAUAUGCACUUGUUAUGCAAGGAGUUGUUACACUGGUAGUUGUUUGGUGUUACAUAAAAUGCAGGGUUGCUUAUAAUGUGCUCUCAUAUACAUUUCUUGCCUGCAUUGGGUUUGACCUGGUCUGGUAUGUGGUGUUUGUGGGUUCAUGUUUGUCCAGACUGCAAUACUAUGAAUGCACCACAGUAUUAUUUUUUAGGUGUAUUGGUUUAUAUUUUCACAUUGUAAACAAACGAUUAUGGUUACACUCAGUAUUGUGUGUUAUCUGUAGGUUUAACCAGUAAUUUAACAACUUUUUUUUUCUUUUUUUCUACUCGCCAAACUUCUAUAGGAAAGCUUGCUAUGCUGCUCAACAUAGCCGCGACAAGGAAUGGUGUUUUUUAGAGGGCACUUUGCCAUUGGCCAGGGGAGGCAACUAACUUGAAUGCAUACUCUGUCUAGCUGUGUAACCUUUCCUACUGCAGGAAGUGGUGCAGUUAAGUGAGCACCACUAAGCGCACUAUUCUUUAAACCAAGAACUGCUAGAAGCAAACUAAAUGCAGAUUCCAGCCCAAUUACUAUAAACAGUGACCAUAUAUAUGCAUGCCAUGGCUUGCCUUCUAACAGCAAAACAUUUUCUAACACUGUAUCAAUACAAUAACUAAAUUAAUAAAACAUUUACAUUUAGUUCAUUUCUAGCAGUUCUUGAUUUAAAUUAUUAUGCGCUUAGUGGUAUUCAUUCGAAUGCACCACUUAUUAUGCAGUAUACUGCAACACUACAGUAGGAAAGGCUACUGUAUAAUAUAAGCAUGCAAGUUUGCCUCCCUUUCCGACAGCUAAGUGUCCUCUGUACAACAUUGCACCCUGUCAAGGCGACUUUGGGUGGCACAGCAAGCUUUCCAAUAGAAGUUUUGUGACUAAAAAAAAAAGGUUAUCGAAGGGCUCUAGCGUAAUACCGGUGUCACACGACUACUUUUGAUCACGAUCAAGCCCGAUCCAGAUUGAAAUUCAGGACUGUGAUUCGUUCCCUCACACAGCUUGCGCAAAGGAGCCAAGCAUGACUGAGAAAUUCGAUCUGGAUCUGGCUUGAUCGUGAUCAAAAGUGAGCCCUGUGACACCUGUAUAACUUUAUAAAAUUUUGGCACUUCUAAAAUUUGAAAAUUGCACUGGCGCAUACCCUCUGUGAAGGAUAUUUUGUGUGUAAGAGAGGUUAAGAUGUAAUCACUUUUUAUUUUGGAUAAAAACCAAGGGCUGUGUUAUUGUGCACUUUUUUGUUAAGAGCAAUACUGGUACAACCGUAGGAACAGCAAAACAGCAUUCACUCUUGAAUAUAGUUGUUAACAGUCGUUUAACUGACAGUGCAAACAGAUCAAAUGGCAAUCAGUGGUCACUAUGCUCUUGUGAACAUUACCUCCCUUGGCAUCAGCAGUCAUAAUGAUCUGAACGAGAAGACGGCAUUUCUCCCGUUCUGUACUGAAUUGACAAACCGAAUGCUGUGGAUUGUUGCCGCGCAGUUGACGUUUUGAAUGUUACAAAGUAAUCGGCGUACCUGCACAGCAGCUGUAUGAACAAAGUACCCUUGGGCUCCUCGAAACGACAAUAAACCGUAGUUUGGACUAUC